rnacentral:rRNA from 1 species
GAUGAACGCUGGCGGUAUGCUUAACACAUGCAAGUCGAACGGACUCUUCGGAGUUAGUGGCGGACGGGUGAGUAACGCGUGAGAAUCUGGCUUUGGGUUCGGGACAACCACUGGAAACGGUGGCUAAUACCGGAUGUGCCGAGAGGUAAAAGAGAAAUUGCCUGAAGAUGAGCUCGCGUCUGAUUAGCUAGUUGGUGAGGUAAAGGCUCACCAAGGCAGCGAUCAGUAGCUGGUCUGAGAGGAUGACCAGCCACACUGGGACUGAGACACGGCCCAGACUCCUACGGGAGGCAGCAGUGGGGAAUUUUCCGAAAUGGGCGAAAGCCUGACGGAGCAAUACCGCGUGAGGGAAGAAGGCUCUUGGGUUGUAAACCUCUUUUCUUAGGGAAGAACAAAAUGACGGUACCUAAGGAAUCAGCAUCGGCUAAAUCCGUG